ACACUAGUUAUCUAUUUUAUUUGUCCAUUUGCAAUAUUGAUAAUUUUAGGAACAUUUGUGUUGGAUAAAAAGCGAGUUACAUCAGUUACUAACUCAACAUGCAGAUGCAGUAUAUCACAGAUAAAUCACAGAGGAGACUUGACUCUUGUCCGGAUGUUACAGGAACAGAUUAUGUUUGUCUGCUGUAGAGUGACUGAUGAAGGAAUGCUGCCAUCAAAGGAUUUGUAUCUUUUGUGGUGGAGCAGGACCUGCAAGGAAAGGGGAAAAAAAGGAAAAACCUGAAACAAAAGAAUAAAGUAAUGACUUUUUGUAUUGUGUGUGUGUAU
ensembl:lncRNA